CGCUGGCGGCGUGCUUAACACAUGCAAGUCGAACGAUGAAGCCCUUCGGGGUGGAUUAGUGGCGAACGGGUGAGUAACACGUGGGCAAUCUGCCCUUCACUCUGGGACAAGCCCUGGAAACGGGGUCUAAUACCGGAUAAUACUCCUGCCUGCAUGGGCGGGGGUUGAAAGCUCCGGCGGUGAAGGAUGAGCCCGCGGCCUAUCAGCUUGUUGGUGGGGUAAUGGCCCACCAAGGCGACGACGGGUAGCCGGCCUGAGAGGGCGACCGGCCACACUGGGACUGAGACACGGCCCAGACUCCUACGGGAGGCAGCAGUGGGGAAUAUUGCACAAUGGGCGAAAGCCUGAUGCAGCGACGCCGCGUGAGGGAUGACGGCCUUCGGGUUGUAAACCUCUUUCAGCAGGGAAGAAGCGAAAGUGACGGUACCUGCAGAAGAAGCGCCGGCU
rnacentral:rRNA from 1 species